GCUCUGGCAACAGCGUCCCGGAGAUGCCGAAUUGGCGGGGCCGCGGCGGCCCGGCGGCCUGGGGUCCACUCUCAGAUUUGGGCCCAGAGAGGCGGAGGCGCAAACCCGGGCCGGGCCAUCUGCUUCUUCCAGUGUAAAAGACCUUCUGCGGCAUCCACACUGUGAUCCUUUGAGCUGACCAGCACCUAGAGACAGAACCAGCUUCACAGGAUGUUUCGUAGCCUGGUGCCUGCCCAGCCAAGGAGUCUGGUGUUAACAAGACAGUUGAUUUAAUAAAGCUUCUUUACAGAAUUGUCAAAUUGAGGAACAGUUUAUCUAGGAAGAAAUGAUACACAUUAGCACCUCCCAAAAUACUGCCACUGUCAACACCACCAAAUCGACCAGCACC